ACGGGGAGAUGCGGAACCUUCAAUCUGCUGCUGUCCUUAUUUAUUGACCUCAUCAUCAUCACUGCGAUGAAGCCCCCUCCUUCCUCCUCCCUCCUCUUCCUCCUCCUCCUCCUCCUCCCUGAGGGAAGGUGGACAAACAGAACCUACAAAAUUACUAUAACUGCUUCAAAUACGCCGCACACUGACUGCGGCAUCUUGAGAGGAUCCGGAUGUCAAUGCAGCCGAGGAAUCUCUUAACACUAUGGUUUGAACAUUUCACUAUAUAUAUGGGAGAGUCGUGAUACAGGAAGUUGGUAUUUGAUUAGAUGCUGGUAAGUCAGAUAUACCAAAUAAGUUCCAUCGGCUGACAGCCUAAUCAAAAGAAAAUACAUGUGGAGAACGGUUCCAUGCUAAUGACUUAACUCUGCAUUUGAUCCUGUUGCUUUCUGUGCCCAUUUUAAAGAGGCCAUUCCAUGCGUGCAUGAUUCACAGCAUUUGGAGUGCAAAUGUCAUCUGUUUCAGUUGCUAUGACAACUCCAAAAGAUACCAAUUACUGAGGAACACCAAUUACCAGAUCCCCCACAGGUUGUCAGAUUGCAAGAAUACAUUACAGACAAUCAGAGGAGCUUAUUAGGUCAGCUUUAGGACAGGCAGGAGGGACUACAUCUCCCAGCAUGCAGGUGUGACUCAGCUGACGGUACAAUGCAUUUGAACGUUUAGUGUUAAAAUGUGUCUAUUAAGCAUUAUGCACAUGGAAACUACAGCAUGGUUGAGGUUAAAUUUAGGAAACUAAACAAUCAGGGUCAUUGGAUGUUCUUCAAGUCUAUGUUAAUUCACUACUCACAUGUCAUAUGUACAUUGAAAGAGUUAUUUCUAGGGCUGUCAAUCGAUUAAAAUACUUAACUGUGAUUAAUCGCAUGAUUGUCCAUAGUUAAUCGUGAUUAAUUGCAAAUGUAUCA